CAAGUCCAUCACGAUGAAGGAGUAGCGAACCGCAUCGGCCCCGAGUCAUGCGCAGAUAGCCGCGAGGGCAUCGGCGAAGCGUUGACAGGGGAGCGCAUAGGCCAGCCAUUGAGCCGCGAUAGUACCCCUCAUCCUGCGCGCCGACGUCGUUCCGGUGACGGAAGGCAACACGGAUGGGCGCGAUGGUGCGAGCGCCCAAGACGACCCGGCGUGGUCUUAGACAC
rnacentral:ncRNA from 1 species